AGACCAUUGGCAGUGGAUGGCGCUGGCGAGCAUGAAUUCGCAGGUAGAGGUGAAGACCUGGUGCUAACCGAAGAUUGUGGCGAAGAAGACGGUGCUGUGUUAUUAUGUUGCUGCGAGAUCGAUUGUUGUACGUUCGAGGUAACACUGGAUGUAGAUGACGAUGACAGUAAUCCGUUUUCACUGCUAUGAGCUGAAAUUCUGAUAUUAACACAUUCUAAGCCAGCUGAAUUUUAGUCGCUAGAAGCAUCAAUGCUGAUUGUCAGAUUGCUUGUAUACGGGGAAUGAACAUACGAAAGAAGACUUGCCAUAAUAGGUACUUUAACAGAAAUCAAUGAACCGUCUAAACCAAAAUCCUUAAUUUAUGCGGGAUCGGCUUAGAACGUGUUAACCGUUUGAAUUCCAAAGGAGAUUGAAAACGCAUUGUCGAAAAAUGCCGAACAGAGUGCAUCAUCAAUUAUCUAUAGCAUUUAAAUGUAUUAGGAUUUUUCGACAUGAAAUCUAAACAGUGUGAUCACACUGCUUGAAACUUAAAAGUUAGUAAAGAUAGUAAAAAUAUAAUAAGAAUAGGGUACU
rnacentral:lncRNA from 1 species